rnacentral:rRNA from 1 species
GACGAACGCUGGCGGCGUGCUUAACACAUGCAAGUCGAACGGAAAGGCCCGGCUUUUGUGGGUUGCUGGAGAGGCGAACGGGUGAGUAACACGUGAGUAACAUGCCCUUGACUGUGGGAUAACAUCAGGGAACUGGGGCGCAUAUCGGAUAGGAGCUUCUGCGGCAUGGUGGGGGUUGGAGAGAUUCGGCGGUUGGGGAUGGACUUGCGGCUCUGCAGCUUGUUGGUGGGGUAGUGGCUUACUAAGGCUUCGACGGGUAGCCGGCCUGAGAGGGUGACCGGGCACAUUCGGACUCAGGUAGGGCCCAGACUCAUACGGGAGGCAUCAGUGGGACAUAUUGCGCGAUGGGCCGCAGGCUGAUGGAGCGUCUCCGCGUGCGAGAGGACGGCCGUCAGGUUGGAACCCGCUUUCGCCUGUAACGAAGCGUGAGUGACGGUAAUGUAUAAAGAAGCACCGGCUAACUACGUG